rnacentral:rRNA from 1 species
GACGAACGCUGGCGGCGUGCUUAACACAUGCAAGUCGAACGGAAAGGCCCUGCUUGCAGGGUACUCGAGUGGCGAACGGGUGAGUAACACGUGGGUGAUCUGCCCUGCACUUCGGAUAAGCCUGGGAAACUGGGUCUAAUACCGGAUAGGAGCCAUUUUUAGUGUGAUGGUUGGAAAGUUUUUUCGGUGUAGGAUGAGCUCGCGGCCUAUCAGCUUGUUGGUGGGGUAAUGGCCUACCAAGGCGGCGACGGGUAGCCGGCCUGAGAGGGUGGACGGCCACAUUGGGACUGAGAUACGGCCCAGACGCCUACGGGAGGCAGCAGUGGGGAAUAUUGCACAAUGGGCGCAAGCCUGAUGCAGCGACGCCGCGUGGGGGAUGACGGCCUUCGGGUUGUAAACUCCUUUCGCUAGGGACGAAGCUUUUUGUGACGGUACCUAGAUAAGAAGCACCGGCUAACUACGUG